UAGAUCAACCUGUGGAAAACUGA
rnacentral:piRNA from 1 species